UACGUAGGGGGCAAGCGUUGUCCGGAAUCAUUGGGCGUAAAGCGCGCGUAGGCGGCCCGGUAAGUCCGCUCUAAAAGUCCAGGGCUCAACCCUGGAAAGCGGGUGGAUACUGCCGGGCUAGAAUCCGGAAGAGGCGAGUGGAAUUCCUGGUGUAGCGGUGGAAUGCGCAGAUAUCAGGAGGAACACCAACGGCGAAGGCAGCUCGCUGGGACGGUACUGACGCUAAGGCGCGAAAGCGUGGGGAGCGAACAGG
rnacentral:rRNA from 1 species